rnacentral:tRNA from 1 species
GGGCCCGUGGCAUAGCCUGGAGAGACCUCAAUGGUCUCGGGCAAUUAUUGCGCCGCUCUGAUAAGGCGGAUGUCGCGUGUUCAAAUCACGCCGGGCCCACCA